UACGUAGGGGGCGAGCGUUGUCCGGAAUUACUGGGCGUAAAGAGAGCGUAGGCGGCACUACAAGUCUCAUGUGAAAUACCCGGGCUCAACUUGGGGGUUGCAUGGGAAACUGUAGAGCUUGAGUACAGGAGAGGCAAGCGGAAUUCCUAGUGUAGCGGUGAAAUGCAUAGAUAUUAGGAGGAACACCAGUGGCGAAGGCGGCUUGCUGGACUGAAACUGACGCUGAGGCUCGAAAGCGUGGGGAGCAAACAGG
rnacentral:rRNA from 1 species